UCCAUCGAGCCAUUAUUUCGUGCCAAACAAGAUUUUAAAUGUUUUCCAUGCAUUUUCUCACUGAAUCCUCAGAAACGCGCCUUGAGGCUGUGGAAUCUGCUAUCUACUGCUGUAAAACAUUCCACCUUAAAACUUAGUGGUUUAAAAGAAUACCCAUGGCAUUUGCUCACAAUUCUAUAGGCCAGCAAACGUAGACUGGUCUCACCUGUCAGCUCUUCUGACGGUCUUGCCUGGGGUCCCUCGUGUGCAAUCAUCUAGGGGUACAACUGGGGCUAAAUGGUCUAAGAUGGGCUCACUCGCCUGUCUGGAGGUUGGCACUGACUGCGGACUGGGCCACGUGUCUCCCGCAGGCCAGCCUGGGCGUCUUCUGUAUGACGGCAGAGUUCCAAGGCAGCAAGCCCCGUUGUGCGGUUUUGCUGCCUUUGUGCGAGUCACGUUUGCUGAAGUCACGUGGCCGAGCUCCGACUCCAUGUGAGAAGGGACCACACAAGGAGAGGGUCCAGGGAGAGAGAAUUCGUUAGAGACCGUUAUAGAACAAUCAGCCACGGAGAUCAGCCUGCUCAGCCUGGGCUCCAUUGUCAGAAGGGACCCUUCCUGUUGAAGGUCCCCUAAGAGACUGGCUUCUUGGCCAAAUUUACAUCCGAGCGGGGGACCCGAUGAAAACAGUGAUGGCGGGACCAGGUUUCUCUUUGACUCGAGGGACAGGAAGCCCAACUCACACUGGCCUAAGCAAAAAGUACAACUUAUGGGGCGCCUGGGUGGCUCAGUUGGUUGAGCAUCCGACUUCGGCUCAGGUCAUGAUCUCUUGUUUCGUGAUUUUGAGCCUUGUGUUGGGCUCUGUGCCGACAGCUCAGAGCCUGGAGCCUGCUUCAGAUUCUGUGCCUCCCUCUCUCUCUGCCCCUCCCGCACUCACACUCUGACUCUCUCUCUCAAAAAUAAAUAAACAUU